rnacentral:misc_RNA from 1 species
GUACUCUCACACUCCCGAUCGUUGGUUGGGAGCGGUGGACUUGGGUGUUGCUGCUUACCGUGGCUCACCUCAAAUGGAGUAGUGCACCUCUCGGUUGGACAUAGUACGGCGUGAUAAGUGUUUCGCCGGCACCUCACUAGAGGGUGGCCGAUCGGGAGCUCUGUGCUUCCAACCGUCCUCGGACAACAACUGACA